rnacentral:tRNA from 1 species
AGUUUAGUAGGUUUAUUUAGACUGUUUGCUUUCAAAGUAAGAGGAGACGAUGAGUGUUUUGUCCUAGGCUG